UUUGUUUGAGGCUUACUCUUAGACUUUUCUUUAGUAAUCCAGCUAUCCACAGACAUGGAUGUCUGUGGAAGUCAGAUAUGGAACAAGGAGGUUCCGUAUCUGACGGUAGCGGUCAUAAUCAUAACCUAUAUGAAAAGUCUUAGAAAUAUCCACUUAAAUC
ncrna:unclassified sequences TwoGGAY RNA